GACACUUUGGCCGAGUGGUUAAGGCGCAGGCCUGCUAAGCCUGUGGGUUCGCCCGCCUGGUAUGUUAAACUCACUUACCUAAAUAUCACAACAUCAUCUAACAGUCCUUACAGGGUUCGAAUCCCAGAGGUGUCG